GUAGGGGGGCAGCCAUCGCGUAAGCAGCCCUUUGAUGGGGCAGCCGGCCGCGCCGCCACUGCACCACGUAGCCGCCCGGCAACUGCCCAGCAACCCGAAAGAGCUCUGAUCCUGCGGGGGCAUCAGCGGGGCGGCGGACCAGCCCCUGGGGCUCUGCUGGCGCCCUGACUAAGGUGCACCCCGCGUUUCCUUUGUGCGCCUUGCAAGGAGGUGGACUUAUCCAUGGAGUUUUACAUCUAAAGGAGCGAUUUCCUCGAGCAGCCCAACGAAGUUCCAGGGCGGACAUGCGGCUCCCCGCCGCCUCGCCUGCGCAGUCGGGCGCCAACGCCGCGUAGGACGAGCGUCGCUUCGUACGAGCCGCUGCCGGACAGGGGGUUCGGUUCGGUUCGGGUCACCUCGGCCGUUUCUGGGCGUCGGAAUGAGAAACCCCCAGCUUUACCGGCUGGUUCUGGGGGGAUGCCUGGGCUCCUUUAUCAUCGUGAUCUUCUACUUCCAGAUCAACUUGAAAUCAGCAGAGCAGUGGGCCGGCUGGCACUGGAAGUCCGGGAGAAGCCCCCUCCAGAUGUUAUACCACGGUGACCAGCCUGAGCUGUCCAUCCCACAGAUGACCCAGCAGGCCCGGCGAGAGCUGCUGGAGGAGGUAUGCCGCUCCUAUACCCGGAAACGGCGCGUCCUCGUGCAGGAGGACCUCAAGCACUUGAUCGUGGACGACCAACAUGGGUUGCUGUACUGCUAUGUGCCCAAGGUUGCCUGCACCAACUGGAAGCGAGUGCUGAUGGUUCUGACAGGUGGGGGCCGCUACAGCGACCCGCUGCAGAUCCCCGCCAACGAGGCACAUGUGCCCGGCAACCUGCGCACGCUGUCAGAGUACAGCCCCGGUGAGAUCAACCAGCGGCUGCGCAGCUACUUGAAGUUCGUAUUCGUGCGCGAGCCCUUUGAGCGCCUCGUUUCUGCCUACCGCAACAAGUUCACGCGCAACUAUAACACGGCCUUCCACAAGCGCUACGGUACCAAGAUCGUCCGCCGGCAUCGCGCCGAUCCCCGGCCUGAGGCGCUGGAGCGAGGUGACGACGUCUCUUUCGAGGAGUUUGUGCGCUACCUGGCAGACCCACAAACGCAGCAGGAGGAGCCGCUGAACGAGCACUGGGAGCGCGUUCACUCACUUUGCCACCCGUGCCUCAUCCACUACGACGUGGUGGGCAAGUACGAGACGUUGGAGCAGGACUCUCGCUACGUGCUGCAGCUGGCCGGCGUCGAGCACGAGGUGCACUUCCCUGCCUCCGCCCAGAGCGCCAGGACCUCGGAGGACAUGGCUGCCCACUUCUUCCGCAACAUCGGCCCCCUCUACCAGAGGAAGCUCUACAGCCUUUACAGAAUGGACUUCCUGCUGUUCAACUACUCCGCUCCGGCUUACUUGAAAUUCAGACUACAUUAGCCACCCCAGCGGGGCUUGUGGGAGUAUUAUUUACACAAAAAUGUUCUGAGGGCAGAAUGAAAAAUGAUUGGUUUAGAGAAAUAACCAAUCAGAUUGUAGAGGAGGUGGGGACUAAGACAUCUGAUUGGUUUAGUUGUAAAACUCCCAUGAGCCCCGGCAGGCAGGUUGCCAGUUACUCAGAGCCUGCACAUGUGUGUAGACGGUAUGCUAGCAUGUAAAUUGCAGCACCUGGAUCACUGUCAGCCGAAGGUGGUUUAUAAUAUUUAUCCCCUUUUUCCAGUGGGGUUUGGACUUCCCCGGUCCAGCAGUUUCCCUGUUUAUUCUCCUGAGAUUCAUGGAAAAAGAGUUCAUUUAAAUAGUGAUUAAAAUUUUGAUUUGACCGGAAGAGGAAUUUGGCAAGGUCACACCCCCCACACGUGAAGUCAUCAUAAAACUCUAACUGUCCUCUUUAAGGAACAACAAUAGAGUGACAUGUUAAGUAUGAGAGAUAUGAGCAAAAGCAUAAUGUCCUCGAUGGAGGAAAAAAUGAAUUGCUGGAUCUCAGGAGGAUUUCGGAAACGUGAAUAUAAAUACAAUGACAAAACGGCAACAUCCUGAACUUGGAUAUUCGCUGCUCUGUCCCACCUGGAGCCAAAACUUCAUCUCUUCAGUGCCUUAAAAACACGGACCUGUUCUUUUCUUUAAGCAUCAUAGUGAGUUCAGAGAUGGUGUUUGUCAUAUUUAUAUAUUUCGCCCUCCACUGUCGAUAUAUUUAUUGCCGGCGAGUACUUGAGGGUCCCACACGUCGGUUACCUUAUGGACGUGAAGACGUGUCCUUACUUUUUACUGCCUUUGGGAGGCGCCUCACCAGGUUUUGCUGGCUAUAGUUGGUGGGUGAAAACAGGCAGCCUUCAGCGUAUUAAUAUCAUUCCCAAGGGAAGGAAACGGAGCCUGUUUUAAAAAUGCACAAAUGUCGUGGUGUUACUCCAGCGAGCCUCUGCCCUUCCGGUGCAUUCCAGAGAGCUCUGAAUUAAAAACUGCAGCUGUGUGCUUUCUGAUGCCUCCCCUCCCCUCCUCCGAGGGCACCGUAAAAUGGCAGAUCCGCUGCAGUCACACAGGCCAAUCCAGGUCUCGCUCUGUAUCUCCUGAGAGAUUUUCCUUAAAUGGUUACUUUUCUGCCAGUACAAAAACAAAAUCCACAAUGUUGCAUCAAGUAACAUUUCACAGAAGUAUAGAGGUACGUUACUUCAAGCAAAAAAGGACCAUGGUUCGAGUGUGAAUUUGAUUCCUCUGAAAUCCCACAGAACACAAAGAAAAGAUGGAUCACACGUUUAUGUUAAUUUCAGCCAAGAAUUAGCCUGAAUUAGUUUUAAAUGGUAUUUCCUCCUCCGCCCUCCCCCCAUUAAUCUGUGGUGUAAAUGUCUGAGAAUCUGACAGCAUGUUUACCAUGGAGUCCCCCCUCCCCCCAUAUGAGAGACUACAGCAGCAAGUAACAUUUCAUUGACGUGGGAAAAUGAUGCAUUUCACUACCAAGAGCUGUGAAUAGAGCGUGUGCCUUUGUCACUAACAUGACUGUAGCACCAGGCCAUGGGGACCCCAAAGUCCCGGGCUAAUAUCAUAGUAUAACCCAGGGCUACAGUCAUAGUGGUUUACAUGGUUGUUUGAUCUGAGACACGGGAGAAUUUGUUUUGAUUUGAUACCUAAGUUCCUGUUUCCAGUUUGCUUUCCAUUGUUUGCCUGGGUUACUCAAGAGCAGUCGGAGUGUGGAGUUUGAGAAGCUGUGCCGCUGUGAAAGGGGGCUGGGGGGGGGUGGGAGGUAAAUCGCUCAACUGAGGAAACAGCUGGCCGAAUGAAUUCACGCACAGCGGCGUCUUGGCGUCCUGCACACAAGUUAAUUUGUCACUUUUUCAAUAAACUUACCCCCCGUCAACUUGCCGGGUAAGAGAAUCUCCUACCGUCAUGAGUGUGACUCACCUGCCCUCCUCUCUGACCCCAAACGACGUUAUACCUCAGUCCUCACAUUUACACCCCAGUACUUUCAUUUUGUCUUCAAAAAUCACCGGAGUAAUAUUUAUGCGACAUCAAUGAAGACUCACCCGCUCACACCGUCUGCUGGACAGACUCUUGGGUGGCAGCUGUCUGGUCCGACUUCGCUCAAAUGACUCGAGGCUGCAAUGCAAGAGACAUCGGUCCUCCCCCAGGAACAAACGUAUCUCCAUAACACCAUGCAUAUUUAACAGCAGAGGUGCUGUUAACACAUGGCGGAAAAACAGAAUAAACUUCAUCAGGUCUCUGAUUAUUGUCUCACAUCCUUAAUGUCCAGCAGAACACGACUCGCAAAGACUCUCGGGAACACGCUAUAGGGACGCAGCGGGAAAGGUCUCCCUCUGGAUAUUUACAGUCUGCAUAGACCAAGGCUGUGUUUGUUUAAGCGGAAGUACGAUCCGAAUCGUAUGAAAGGACAAGAGUUCCUCAGCCAACUUCAUUAUAGCACAGACUGAAGCCCAACAGCUCAUUGGCCGAAAUAUGUUUGAUGAGUCAGAAUGAAUCUCUGCCCCCAUAUCUGGACAAGCGAGCUCAGUGGGAUCCCACUCAGGCUGGGUUAGGGGACUGGCCAGCUGCUGGGGGAGCCCUGGGAUUCAUCUACUCACCUACUCGGAGGAGAGCAUCUCAGUGAUGGCACUAUGCUGAGAGCAUAAUUUGAAAGUGAAUUUGGAAGUUGUAUCUUCAGCAAAUUGUACCGGGUGCCGCGUUUCAUAACAGAUGAUCAUGCAAUAUUUUUGUGACAAUUUACCAACUCCCCAUAUCCCCUCCCCCCACUCCUAGCUAUCCUACUGGGGUGGUUUGACAGCUGAGGAAUGUUUCAGAAUGCCCACCUG